GUUAGUAGUAUAUUGAACAGGCAUCAGCAGAGUCACCUACUUUGUCCUCGCUCCGUGUCCUCGGCGUCUCAACUACAGCCUCCCGAACAGGUAUCACAUUUUACAGCAAAGUCAUCCGUGUUUAGUCUUUCAAACAUUAGCGUUACAUAAAAAGAACGUGACAGAGGCUAAGCGAUGGAAAUGUGCAUUUCCUAGUUAGUCGAGACGGGUCCUGAGAGGCAACUCGAGGCCACUCCUACGGCACAUCUGCCUCAUGCACGCGUACCAAAACCAGUUAAUUCAAAAACCAGUUAAUACCGCACACCGUCAACCUUGAGAAGCAAUGGAGCGACAGAAAUAUGCGUUUACAUAUGAGGAGCUUUCGUUUGAGACCGUGAGAUUCUUUUUAAGAGUUCACAACGUUUGACCAGACUUUUAGGGCACACUUUGUUUCAAAGAAGCUGCUUCCUGCGCCAGAUGAUCACAGCAAUGACAAAUUAGGAAGCACCGUUUUUUGUCCCGCUCUCUCUUUGUGGAAGUGCUCUAAGGAGGAUGCCAGAGGGAGUUACACUUCCUCAAAAGCUCGAGGGUGAACACACACUCCUGAUAACAGCCUCCGUGCAGUGGUCCAGUACUCACGUGGCAGGCUAUGGAGAUCUCCAGAGACCGGCACCAGUGGGACACUGCGGUCAAGCCAGCCGCCACUUCGAAAAACACAGUCAAGCCAGCCCGUACGAUUUUUUUCAGUACACGUAUAUACCAGACAUUACGGUACGAGCGUGUGAAAGCUGUCUUCAAAAUAAGAGCGAACUUCCGGUGAACGUGAUAUGACGAAACACGCCUUUAAAUACAGAUAUAGUGAUAGAUUAAACUAAAUGAAGAGAUGAAAAAUCAUGAAUGGUAUUAAUGAUGAACACAUUAAAUGAAAUAAAGUAAUUAUUCCAAUAUUGGGAUAUUCUGAUUUAGAAUUUCAAAAUAAAAGCUAAAGACUUUCACUUCUGAUUCAUGGUAGAGUACCUCAAUGUGUCAUCCAGAGAUGAUCAAGACAUUCUGACGUUUGAUUUCUAAAUGAAAGCACUUCAUAAAGAAAAUAAUAGUAAUAUAUUUCCAAUAUUUGAUAUUUCUUUGAAGCAAAUCUGUAAGUUUCUUGAUAAAAAUUACACUGCGGUCUUGUUAAUGGUGACCUCUGCUAGGCCCAUGAUUAUUCUCAUGAGAUAUUACUGUGUAGAUUUUGA